rnacentral:rRNA from 1 species
UACGAAGGGGGCUAGCGUUGUUCGGAAUUACUGGGCGUAAAGCGCGCGCAGGCGGUCUUCCAAGUCAGUGGUGAAAGCCUGGAGCUCAACUCCAGAGCUGCCAUUGAAACUGUUAGACUUGAGUACGAGAGAGGUGAGUGGAAUUCCCAGUGUAGAGGUGAAAUUCGUAGAUAUUGGGAAGAACACCAGUGGCGAAGGCGGCUCACUGGCUCGUAACUGACGCUCAGGCGCGACAGCGUGGGGAUCAAACAGG